UGGGGAAUAUUGCAGCAAUGGGCGCAAGCCUGAUGCAGCCAUGCCGCGUGUGUGAAGAAGGCCUUCGGGUUGUAAAGCACUUUCAGCGAGGAGGAAAGGUGGUGAACUUAAUACGUUCAUCAAUUGGCGUUACUCGCAGAAGAAGCACCGGCUAACUCCGUGCCAGCAGCCGCGGUAAUACGGAGGGUGCAAGCGUUAAUCGGAAUUACUGGGCGUAAAGCGCACGCAGGCGGUUUGUUAAGUCAGAUGUGAAAUCCCCGGGCUCAACCUGGGAACUGCAUUUGAAACUGGCAAGCUAGAGUCUCGUAGAGGGGGGUAGAAUUCCAGGUGUAGCGGUGAAAUGCGUAGAGAUCUGGAGGAAUACCGGUGGCGAAGGCGGCCCCCUGGACGAAGACUGACGCUC
rnacentral:rRNA from 1 species